CCAACGGCUCUUUUAAGAGCCACCCAAAUUAUAUGAGGAGAGCUG
rfam:Apaloderma vittatum contig3760, whole genome shotgun sequence.